AUAACCACCUGAUAGGUGAGAUAAUAUGAUUGGGAAGGUUUUUUUUUUUUCAGAGAGAGACUUAUCCAGUGCACACAGGUGUGCUGACCCCCAGGAUUUUCCCAAAUGUGAGCAACCAGAUAGCAUAAUUUGUGGUAGUGUGGGAAAUGAAAAUCUUUA